AUACUCUGGUUUCUCUUUAGCAUGAAUACAUCUUUUGGCUUUUGUUAAAGAUUUCUGUGGAGAGGAACAACCAUGAGUUUUGGUGAAUUUUUUAAUGCCUGGCUUCCUUGUUGAAA